CAAUAACCAGACCUUUCCAGUUCUACUUCCAGGAAUGACGGAAAUAAGAUGGCACCUCAGCAAAACCACAGAAUGGUGUUAGGAAGACCUUAUAGGCCUGGGUAUUUAUAACUUCCCUGGAACAAAAGGUGGUGCACUGGGACAUCAAUCAAGAGUUUUGCAUACAGGAUUAAAAAAUUUGCUCAAAUUCCUCUCAUGAGACCCUGUUAAAACAUUCUAGAGUCAUUUUCCACAUGGCACGCACCACUUAAUCCUUAACUUCUAUUUCUCCUUAACCUUAGCCUCCCUUCUCACUUUGAAUUCGUUUGGGAACAUUACCCCAGUUCCUUGCUUGGGCACUCAUAAUAAAUCACCUUCAUACCUAGGCUUGUUUCUCUUCUGUAGUGCCAGAUCAUGCCUGCCCAUCUGUUGGACCAUGCUUAUGGUAACAGAUUUUGGUGAGCCAGCAGGACUCCUGCUGCUCUAGGGAUACGCCCUGUUCCUCAAGCAGCUCUGAUCUGGAUCUCAUCAGCCAUGGGGCUUCCCCAGAAUGCUCAGCUCUGUGCCUAGCAGCUGCCCAGUGAUUUUUCUGGAGGGCCGAGGCUGGAGGUUCUGGGCCAAAUUUCUACCAUGGAUGAACACUGGGUGCUUUGGGUUAAGAUGACUCUUUUUCUCCUUUGUUUCAGGAGGUACCAGCGCUUGAACCUAGGACCUUGUCCCUGGAAAGCAGGCACUCAACCACUUGAGCGCUAUCCAUUCCAUGAAGGUGAUUCUGAAGCUGAGUGUUCGCCUAUGCUAGAGUUUUACAGUGACCAUGAUGCCUUGAAAAAGUGUAAAUUGCUAGUUUUCAAGAACCAAAGGAAAGUAUCUAGCAGCUGAGGUGAGUGACCUGUUAGAUGAUAUUUUUUCCCUGCUCUGCCACCCCUUGUGUGUUUAGUGUUGAAUAUUUUUUCAUGGUUUUUUUUGCCAUUUGUAUUUCUUCUUUGGACAAAUGUCUAUUCAAGUCUUUAGCCAUGUUUUAUUUGGAUUGUUUAUCUUUUUAUUGUUGAGUUGUAGCAUCUCUUUUUUAUAUCCUGGUUAUGAAACCCUUAUCAGACAUGUGAUUUUCCAAUAUUUUCUCCCAUUGAGUUUGCUUCCUAUUCACCCUUUUGACAAAGUCCUGUGAGGUGCAGAAGUGUUUAAUUUUGAGGAGGUCCCAUUUAUCUCUUUUGUUUUGUUGUGUAUGCUUUGGGUGUAAGGUCCAAGAAACCACCACCUACUAUAAGGUCUACAACAAGAUAUUCCCCUUCAUUUUCUUCUAUUAGUUUUAUUUUCCUGGCUUUUAUAUUUAGGUCUUUGUUCGAUUUUGAGUUGAUUCGUUUAUAAGGAGUGAGAAAAAGGUCCUCUUUCAUUCUUUUGGUUAUAGAUACCCAGGUCUCCCAUUGCCUCUUUUUCAAGAAAUUCUUUUGUCCUGUUACCAUGGACUUGGUAGGUUUGUGGAAAUCCAUUUUGCCAUAGAAAUGAGGGCUUAUUUCUGGACUCUGAAUUCUGUUCCACUGAUUGAUGUGUCUGUCUUUAUGCAAGUACGAUGCUGUUUUGACCACCAUAGCUUUGAAAUAUGUUUCAAGUUCAGGCAGAGAAAUUCCUCCCAUGUCACUCUUCUUUUUUUAGUAUGCUUUUGGCAUUUUGGGUGCCCUUUCCCUUCCAAAUGAAUCUGGAAAUUGCCCUUUUUAAUUCUUUAAAGUAGGCUGUUGAAAUUUUGAUUGGUAUUGCUUUAAAUUAGUUUGGGUAGGAUUGACAUAUUCAGGAUAUUUAUUCUUCUACUCCAUAAACAUGGAAUGUCUUUCCAUUUGUUUAGGUCUUUUAAAAUUUCUUUCAGCAUUGUUUCAUAGUUUUCUACACAUAGCUACCGUGCCUCUGUGGUUGAAUUAAUUCCUAGGUAUCUGAGUCUUUUUGAUGUUAUUUAAAUUGGAAUUUUUCCCCCUGAUUUCCUCCUCAGAUUGUUCAGUACUAGUUGUGUAGAAGAACAUUACUGAAUUUUGCAUGUUGAGAUUGUAUCUGCCACUUUGCUUAACUUGUUCAUUAGCUCAAGUAGCUUUGUUGUAGACAUUUGGGAAUUUUCUAAACAUAGGAUCAUGUCAUCUGCAAAUAGAGUUUUACUUCUUUUUUCUAUUUGACUGUCUUUUACUUAUUUUUGUUGUUUAAUUGCUCUAACUGGAACUUCUAGCAUAAUGCUGAAUAACAGUGGUGGCAUUGGGCAUCCUUGUCUUGUUCCAGAACUUAGAGGGGAAAUUUUCAACCUUUGCCCAUUAAGAUAUUGGCUGUGGGAUUUUCAUAUAUGCCUUUUAUCAUAUUGAGGAAUUUUCCUUUUAUUUCUAUGUUUUAAAAUAUUUAUUGAGAAAGGAUGGUGGAUUUUUGCUGAAUGCUUUUUCUGCAUUGAUGGAGAUGAUCUUGUGGGUUUAUUCCUUCAAUUUUUCAAUGUGAUGUAUUACAUUAAACUUUUUUCUAACGUUGAACCAGCCUCACAUACCAGGACUAAAUCCUUCUUUGUCAUGAUUAUAAGACUUUUGAUAUGCUGUUGAAUUCUAUUUGCAAAUAUUUUUGUUCAGAAUUUUUGCAUCUAUAUUCAUUAGAGAAAUUGUUCCACAAUUUUCUUUUCUUGUAAUGUCCUUAUCUGUCUGUAGUCUUAGGGUGAUGUUGGUUUCAUAAAAUGUGUUGGAUAAUUUUCUCUCCUCUUUAAAAUUUUGGAAGAGUUUAAAGAGGAUGGUGUCAGUUUUUUUCAAAAUAUUUGUUAGGAUUCACAUGUGAAGGCAUCUACUCCAGGAUUUUCUCAGUUGGAGAAUUUUUUUUUUUUUAAGAUUUAUUUAUUUAUUUCUCUCCCCUUUUCCCACCCCAGUUGUCUGUUCUCUGUGUCUACUUGCUGCAUGUUCUUCUUUAUCUGCCUCUGUUGUUGUCAGCAGCAUGGGAGUCUAUGUUUCUUUUUGUUGUGCCAUCUUGUUGUAUCAGCUCUCCGUGU
rnacentral:lncRNA from 1 species